rnacentral:rRNA from 1 species
UACGGAGGGUGCAAGCAUUAAUCGGAUUUAUUGGGCGUACAGGGCGCGUAGGCGGAAAUGUAAGUCAGAUGUGAAAUCCCGGGGCUCAACUCCGGAACUGCAUUUGAAACUGCAUUCCUUGAGGGUAGGCGGAGAAAACGGAAUUCCACAAGUAGCGGUGAAAUGCGUAGAUAUGUGGAAGAACACCUGUGGCGAAAGCGGUUUUCUAGCUUACUCCUGACGCUAAGGCGCGAAAGCUAGGGGAGCAAACAGG